CAUCGUGCCAGUUUGUGGUGACAACGCGGUCUACAAAACUAUACUGUAGGAUGCAAUUUUUCCUGACUUGAAUGCUACAGGACCAAAAAAGGAAGUUUCGGAACAAGAAGAGGAAACCAUCCAGGGGAGAUACACUGAUCUUCUGAGCAUGGCAUUCAAGGGCACCUCUGAAGGGCCUCCCUGUUUCUACGUUUCAUCUCAGGCAUGAAAACCUGUGGCUUCCAGGGGCAGGUGGAAUGGAGAGGUAUCAUUUAGUAGCUACAGAGUUUUUUGUUUUGCAAGAUGACAAAGGUUCGGGAGAUGGAUGGCCGGGAUGGUCGCACGGCCGUGUGAACGUACUUAAAGCCGCCAACCUAUAUGGUUAAAAGGGUAAAAUUUUGUAUGUAUGUUUUAUUUACCACAAUGUAAAAAUAAUGAUUAUAUAAAAGCAAAGGACUGUCAGAUGAGAGGUUGGAUGGUGUAUGAAGAGGGGGAGACUUCAGAUGGGGCGUGAAAUGAGACACCCCCACCCCAUGCCAGCCCUGGAAAAGGAUUAGUACCUGCCUUCUUUCAAGUCGCCGAUGUGUUCUCCCAGACCUGCC